UUACAAAAGGGGAAAUUAGCGCGGGGAGACGCACGUGAUGUAAGCGACGUCAACAACACAGCUGAGAGGACGUCACACAGAUAUUUCUCUACUAACCUUCGCCAGACACACCAUUACACAAUCACUUCAGACAUCCCAGUGUAACAGCUGCCACAGGUGUGCUGAACACUUGGGAAUGCCAUAAAUCCGAAGAACAACAAUUUUUGUGUCAUUUGCUUGCAUACACACAGAACCAUCACAGACUGCUCCUCAGGAAAUUCAAAGCUUGGUUACACAAGAUCUUGAAUUUGUGUCAAUGAGUGACGAAAUUGAAGUGGUUGGGACAUACAGCGACACAGAGGAGCAUGAGUCACUUACAGACCAAAACUCAUUGGCCUCGCAGAAUGGCAGUCUUAUUGAUGAGAUUGAGGCCGCCACCCAGAGGAAGAAACACUGGCGGAACCUUCUCUCAUUCUGGCUACUAGGUCUCACUAAUAAUUUUGCCUAUGUUGUCAUGCUCUCAGCUGCCCAUGACAUCCUCUCUCAGGACUUCAACGGUGAUGGUGGUGGUGGUGAUGCUGGUGGUGGUAAUGGCAGCAUUACACCAGGGAAUGACACCAACACCACCAACCCUCGUGACUGCAACACCAUCAGCACCGGCGCCGUCCUGCUGGCUGACAUCAUCCCCUCCCUUCUCAUGAAACUCUGGGCUCCCUUCAUGUUCCAUCACAUACAUGGCCGUGUGAGUCUGGUGGUGGUGCUGGGGACCUGUUCCUUCCUGCUGGUGGGCUUGGCGACUAGCAGGGUCAUGGCAAUAUUUGGUGUGAUUUGUGCUGCUGCUGGUGCUGGUCUUGGCGAGGUGUCCUUCCUCUCCUACUCUGCCAACUACCAUGAGAACGUUGUGUCCACCUGGUCGUCGGGCACAGGGGCUGCUGGGGUGUUUGGUGCCGCAGCCUUCGCUGUGCUCACCUCGGCCGGACUCACCCCCCGCACCUCAGUGUUGAUCAUGCUGAUGGUGCCUGUGGUCAUGAGUGUGAGUUUCUGGGCGAUUCUCAUACAUCCUGGAAGAACAAAAUGUCGCAGUCCUUGUAUGAAGUAUGGUAGUGUUAGUGAGGAGGAGGAAGAGAGCAUGUUGCCGUCAAGCCGUCCAUCACCUCCUCUAACAUUUAGCCAGAAAAUGACAUUGCUUCCUUCCUUAAUGAAGUACAUGAUCCCUGUGUUUAUGGUGUAUAUGGCUGAGUAUGUGAUUAACCAAGGCUUGUUGGAGCUGGUGUACUUCCCUGAGGACCGAACCUGGCUGGACCACCAUGCACAGUACAGGUGGUAUCAGGUGAUCUACCAGGUGGGGGUCAUGGUGUCCAGGUCUUCUGUCAACUUUGUGCACGUCAACCACAUCUGGAAGACCUCCGUGUUACAGUGGAUCAAUGUGGUUCUCUUCCUAACCUGUGCUAUCUACUGGUGGAUUAAAAAUAUCUGGCUAGUGUUCUUCCUAAUCUUCUGGGAGGGUUUGCUGGGAGGAGCAGCAUAUGUUAACACUUUCUACAAAGUGUCUCAAGAGAUCAGCGAGCCCAACAAGGAGUAUGCCUUGGGGGUGACCACCUUGGCAGACUCACUUGGGAUAACAGUGGCAGGUCUUAUUGCCAUUCCUAUCCACAAUGCCAUUUGCAGCUUACCAGUGAAAUGAUAGACACCCAAAGACAAAGAGAGGAUAGAGGUGGACAGCAGGGAUAAGGAACGUUCAUCCCAAUUGCUGAAUAGUUUUGUUUUUGUUUUUGUUUAUCAUUGUUUUCAUUUUCUUUGCUGUGUGCUCCUCAAUAUAAUGAAGAGUGAUCCCUACAAUUGUUAACAAUGUGUGUGUGUGUGUGUGUGUGUGUGUGUGUGUGUGUGUGUGUGUGUGUGUGUGUGUGUGUGUGUGUAAUUCACCACU
rnacentral:misc_RNA from 1 species